UACGUAGGGCGCAAGCGUUAUCCGGAAUUAUUGGGCGUAAAGAGCUCGUAGGCGGUUUGUCGCGUCUGCCGUGAAAGCCCGGGGCUCACCCCCGGAAGUGCAUUGGAAACUGGCGAACUCGAGUCCCGGAGAGGAGAGUGGAAUUCCUGGUGUAGCGGUGAAAUGCGUAGAUAUCAGGAGGAACACCGGUGGCGAAGGCGGCUCUCUGGACGGUGACUGACGCUCAGACACGACAGCAUGGGGAGCGAACGGG
rnacentral:rRNA from 1 species